UACGGGGAGACCUCUGCUUUUCUCUAAGUAAGUAGUCACCUCGCUGGCGCCAAGAAAGGCAUCUCACCCUCUUUAGUAUAGUAUACUAAGUCCGGAUGGAUGUCUAAGUCAGUAUUCUUUCUUCCUUGACGAAGGCAGCUGAAAAGGAUGAAAGAUGGAUUAUCUAUUAACUAAAGACGGAUUUGCUAUCUAUGGUGAGUAGUUUCUUUCUUCUCGAUACCUUUUAUUGAAUUGAACUACUAAAUACCUGUCAGAGAUCGUUAUAGUAGAUAUAAUAAGGAAGGUUCUUUCUAAUUGGUCAGGAUUUGGUACACUUGUUGGUACCUACGAACCAUGGCAUCUAUCGAUUGGAGGACCAAUGCUGGGAUCAAACGUAGGGCAUUUUUGAAUGAAUUUAUUUCUCCCCGGUCAACAUUCAAAGUCGUAAUAUAAGCAAUCACGAGAACAAGAAUCUCCUCUUGGUUCAAUCAUUACUUUCUAUUGGAGCGGAGGGGCGAUAGCUAUAUAGAAUCCUUUUCCUUCUUGUCUACGAUGUCUCCCUUCGAGGUUCGAUAGUAGUUGCUGUCACACUUGAGAUUAAUUCAGAUUCAGAUUAUCAUAUAGUCAAGGUAAACCUCUUCCUGUGCCUGAGUGAGGGCUUCCCAGGAGGAAAUAGCUUUCAAGACCAGAAGCGUAGAUGAUAGUUUCAAGGACAGGACAAUGGACCGUAUGAGUUCGAGACCGAGGAGCUGCUGACCGAGAGGAGAGGCAGGGGCGCGUCUGGUGGUCUCGUAUAUAAAAUAACUCUUUAGGAGUGAUCCGUUCAUCUAACUAGCAAUUGAAUAAGAAAAUCGUAGCGUAGAAAGUCUUGCUUACUAUCUCCUCCAUCUAAGUUAAGUAAGAGGAGAGGAGCUUCAAUAUCCAAGUGAUAGCACUGAGACUCGGUUGACAAGCUCAUUGGCUGGCAAGACCGGAGGGAGGAUCUUAAUUCCAGUAUAAGCAGUUGAUCUCUACUAAAGAGGGUAAGCGAGACAUAGCCCAGAAGCUUUUAGCCAGAUUUUGAAUUCGGUGUGUUAAGCAUGGUGCCAUGAAACAAGAAUUGGAAUAAGGCUAAUAGAUGACCGGAUAGCUAGGCCGGUAGAUCACAUAGGGGACCCCCCUAAUUUGAGGAAGCGGAUUGUCUUGGUUGGGAAUUCACCAUUUAUUCUCCAGAUUUCUGUUAUCCUACGAUAUUGGAUUUCAGAAUGAAUAUUCUUCUUCUCUCGAAACCUCUCUAGCUUUCAAUUUUGUUACUGUAGCUACUCUAGUUCUCACUCCAAGUAUUCCGUUCGUUCCAGGAACAAAGUACUCGAAGGGAGAGGUAUGUAAUUUCGUUCUUCUACAACUGUGCUCUUACCGUAGAAUAUGAAUAUUGGAACUCCUAUAUUUUAGGUUGUCUAUCGCAAAACUUUCGAAACCACAGGGUUUCCCUAGUCUAAUCGCUGUCUCAGGCCCUUUUCCGAUGCCAUAAGGAAAGAUGCUCCGUAGUAGAGGAAGAGUCAAGAAGCCCUAAGGGAGGUAUCAGCUAUUGGGUAAGUCGUGUCGGCGUAAAGGCGCAUCAAAUCUUUCAAGAGAAAGAAAGUCCCCUUCAGAAAGGAAUCAGAAGCGUAGAAAUCAAACUCCUCGGGUGCUAAGCCUAAAUCUAACUCGUGGAAAGCUCUGUCUUCCUCACCCGAUUCCAAAUCCUUUCCUCUUUCUCCCUUGUCUGCUGCUCUGCUUUAAGCCAAAACAAGGCCAGACGCAGGCCUAAAACUCAAUCUAUCUGCUAUGGACUGGACUAUUUGCUAAAGUUCAAUCGAUCGAAGCCCUUCUUUUAUUCGAUUCCGCUUCUUACGGCCGGAAGCCACUCCGUCUCUGAGACGGCUCGCCCAUCUCUUCUUAAUAGGUUAGAGGAGGGUCUAGACAAAGAGCUGGUAAGAACAUCACCAAGAUGUGGCCCUUCCAUAUAGGAAUUCUUACCUAUGCUUCGUAAGCCAUAGCCAAGGUGCUAAGGAGGUCUAUUAGGAGAGCAAACCCUUGUUGUAUGCGAUGAUCAAGUUUUUGCCAAUACCGAUUCCUUUUCCUUGAGACCGAACGAGCCCUUAACGGCCUUAUGCGACUAUAGAGCCUGAAAAGGGAAUGUACGCUUUGAAAGGGCGAACUACCCUUAGAGCUCCAUGUAAUGGAGCGAAUACUAAAGUCGCUUGGAGCGAGUACUAAAGAAGCUGAACACAAAGAGAAUUUAGGGGUUGAAAGGGACGAAAGUUAUCUCUUUUCAGGGGAUAGCAUUAAGACAAAGCGAAUGUACGUCUUGAUAGGAGUUUCCAUUCUUCUCUGAGGGUGCGAGUACCAUACCUAAUCAAAGGGUGACUGAUGCGGAUGGCGCAGGGACCGUGUCCAUGGAGGCAUAGGCCUCAACCUCAUCCUAAAAGGACUCCUUUAGCUUUGGGGUUGAUUUACGUGGCUCAAGACUUUGAGUCAAGAGGUCAGGUGUUCACAUCUUUAAAGAAAGGUGGUGAUGCGGCAUUGGCAUUUUCAGCAAAUUCAUCAGAUAGCUUGCCUUCUUUUCGUUUACGUGGCUACAUACUUGUAGCGAUCAAAGGGCAUAUUUAUUAUUAUUUAUUAUUUAUAUAAGGAAAGGGUGGCUCAAGCCUCAAAAGAAAGGGUUUAGGUAGGUCAAAAGCUUGACAUCUAUUGAAUGUACGCCUUUAUUGGAUUGGGCAUAUUUCUAAGCUGCAUUUAGGAGUUUUAUCAAGCUGUGGCAGGGGCAAGGGUCAAGAGCAAUGGAGCCUUGAGAGGGCAUAUUUUGAUAGAAGAUAUGGGCCAGAUGCGGCACACGAUAUAUCGACGACACCUUAGUAGGGGCCAGAAGAAGAAAUAGAAUCAAAACUUUUCUAAGUAGCUACACCCACGUCUGGCCGUUGAGAUAGAUUUAGGGGGAAUCUAUCCAAGUAUGGAAGCUGACAUGUCUGCAUUCGCCUAUCCUUCUCAUAAAGAUAAAAGAGAAAGAUUACCGCACUAAGCUUGACUUCCCGCGCGCUUUCCUAUCGUAAACUUUGAUUAAUCGUCUUUCGGCUUUUUACCCUUCAAAGCAUACAUGAGGAUAAAAACCUCUAAAGAAAGGACUAGUUAGACGGUGCCUAUUUUCUUUAUAUAAUAAAUUGAUUCUUCUAUAAGCUCUUGGUCUUAUCAAUUUAAACCCUAUGGGCUUGGCUCCUUCAGGCAACUCUAAUCAACCAAACCUUAUUCUUGCCCAUGGAGUUCAUAUCCUCCUUAAUUGCAUCAUACCACCUCGAGGAAUCCUUUCCACCUAUGGCUUGUGAAAACGUGACUGGGUCAUCUAAAAGUGUACCGUCUUCAUGCAGAUACAAAACGUAAUCAUAAGAAAUGGCAGGUCUCCUCUCUCUUUUUGAUCUCCUCAAUGCCACUUUACCUCCCACAGGUGGUGCCUGAUGUGGGGCAUCAACGGCUGGAAAAGGUGGCUCUUAGGGUGAACCCUGGUUCGUGUUGAAGUGUAGCUACGCCCCGUAAGGUCACUUUACCCGAAUACCUUACUUACAUUGAACUACCCUCGACUUGAUCCAUCCCAAUGAUGGUAGGUAGGCAACUCUUUUCCGAGAGCGCGGUUGAGAAAGAUUUUUAUUGAACCCCUGGGACUCUGUCCGCUUCCCUGAAGUAAGUCUUACCGCAGACGUGACAUUUCACUAUAAAAAUGAAAGAGUUAAGUUAAAUCGAUAGGUUGAGGAAUCGAACCUUAAGGCUUCAACACAUAGACCAUUUGCACCAGUAGCGAACUCAGUACAGGUGGAGUUGCGUGGCCUAUUCAUCUUCAUCCUAGAUUCGCUCGUUAACUGGAUGAAUAAAAGGAAUUAAGGGUAAGAAGGAAAGGGUAGCUUGGAUUUCAGAUGUUGACGUAAAAAAAAAGUCCUUUGCUUAAGCCGCAGGGCUCAAAUACCUGAUAUCAAGAUCAAAGGCAUACCUGACUCCCGAAUGGAAGGAAAAAGAAUGCCCUCUCCAACUACAAAUGGAUACCAGACCGCCCCCGGUGAAAGCCCUCUUUUCCAUACGGCCCUAAAAGUCAAGUUUUCCAUGGUUCUUUUUGGCUCUUUAUGAAAGAUUGUUGGUAAGCCUACCCUCCCAGGCGCACCUGAUUAGCCACUUACUCUAGUAUGAAUUGCUUGCUUGUCGGAUCGAACACCUUAAAAUGGGAACCUGCAAAGCCGUUCCAUUACUCAUUGAUCGUUAACCAUAAGAUUGGCUGACUAACUGCCGGAUUUUACAUUACACCUUCACAAGGGUGUGAUCAACUCAAGCGGGUCUUUCGGGCCGGGAUCCUAACCAGUACCUACCAUGCCCCCGAGAUUCCUCAGUACAUAUGGGUUGGUGCUUAGUCUGUCAAUUCUAUCUCAACAAAGGAAAAAUCGUUCGUUCCGCUUCUUUUUUCAAAAAAAAGAGCUCCUCCGACAAGCUCAUUCGCUCACAGACAAUAGUAGAUAAAUGAAUCGAUCCUUCGUGCUUUCACUUAGCCCUCGGCUGUGAACCAUUGUCACUCGUAUGGGUGCAUGUACCUCCGCGCCUAGAAGAGAGCUUUCACUGGGGAUUAAAAAAAAGGGGGGAUUGGCAUGUAUUCCCCACGGGGAAAUUCCCAUUGAGAGUUUACAUACGUAUACCUCUAUUCUUAUACCCGGCAUUCGCUGCCAUAAGACAGCCCUGGUAUUCCCACAUUUCUUUUUUUCUAAGACAAUGGAUUUUCUGCUAACAGCGGAUUCUAUUCCGAGAAAACCAUCGAGAUAACUACAAAAGAACCUUCCGCCUUGCUUUCGAGCUUAGCUUUGCGUCAUGGGUUCCAAAUUGGCUGAGCUAACCGUACCAGGCGAAGAACACAUGCUGGGAACCUGGUGAAAGGAGCUCUUCCAGGUCUCUAUAACCUGAACAUUCUUCACUUUAUUGGCAAGACCAAUCCGCAACCGUAGAACCGCAACACGGCUUGGUAGGGUAAAUGGCGACCUUUAGACUGUCUUCCUCUCAAGGCAACGAACGAGCGGGGGCUCCGAGACCUCGUUUUUUGUUUUCCUCAUUAAGGAAUGCAAGUACUCAAUUUUUAGAGUAAAGAAGAGGGACUCCCUUUCGUCUACUUUAUUAAAUGUCGAAAGACACUUCAUUCUGCUCCUGCGAGGUAUAGCGGAAUUACGCGGGAAGGAGUAUCAGAAUAUAGAGAUAGACUAGAAGCAGACGAGGAGAAGGUUUACUUUGGAGUUCCUUCCCUCUCUCAAUCUGUGACCGUCCCCUUUCGGAAGGGAUUUUUUGUCAUACUAUAACGUUUACUUUCUAUUGGAUUUGUCCUUAAGAUUCUACUAGCGCUACAAACUUCAUUUAUAUGACGUUAAGUGAGAGAUCUGCAAUUCAUCUUGUGUUUGUCUCACUAAAUCAACUUCUGCAGUCUCAACUCUCUAUUGAAUUCCCGCAGAUCUCAGUUAUCUCAAAAUGGCUCAGCCUCUUGUGAAGAAAGAUGAUGAUCGCGAUGAUGAACUGGAAUACUCUCGGCAUUGAGAAGGUUGCUGCAAAUAAGAUAGCGAGCUACAAGGCGAAAAGAGGUCUCAUGACCAGGGAACUGAAAAGAAGUAAAAGCCGGAGGAAUGAAUUUGAAAGCUUUCUAGGAAGAGAAAGGAAUGCAUUUUCUGACAUAACUAUACGAAAUUUCUUUGAUCGAUGCCUUUGACUCAGAUCCCAAUCCCUGGAGCGAAAGAAUCUGGUAAUAUAUCCUCUGGUUUAGCUCCACCUCUGAGAAAUCUUUAGUCCUCCGUCUCUACUGCCCUUUCACUCCAGUUUACCGUAGCAACUACAGCAAGCUGCCUAGCUCACUGGCUCGUAUGACUAGCUCGCUUACUUUAACUCAUCAGCCUAGCUCUAACAAGCCAACACUCCGUUCCUAGUUUCGCUACCCUGCUUUACCUGGUGAGAUAGCUUUCUUAAGGAUUGGCUGUCCUACUUACCAUGCUUUCCAUGCCAUGUGCUUCCUCCAAGACUUGAAAAGGGGCUGCCCUAUAUUAUAUAGUAAGUUUCUUUUGGUUAGAAAUGGAAUAAGAGAAGAAAAAUCGUAGCGUAGUCCUCCGGGGGUAGGGUUAACACUCCAUAGAUCAGAUCGUGAACUCUUUCAGACCCUUAGUUUCACUUGGUUGGGGCAGAGUUUCAGCCUGCCUUCUACCGAAUAUAAAAAAACCUUACAGCUGCCUAAUCUGCUGACAUCCCCGCGAAGAGAGUCAUUAUUUGUGUCACAUCCUCGAAUUCGAGAGCCUGUUAUCUCUCAAAUUAUAGGAUAGGCAUUGAAGCGAUCGAGCGAGAGAAAGAAAGAAAACUAUUGCACACGCCCCUCAUUCGCCCAGAAGGUAAGGCAAAAGCAGCUUAAGCUUCCGAUCACCCGACCCGAGAAGCCCUCGAUGAACCGCCUAUAGUCUUAUAUAGACUUUUAUAUAUAAAUAAAGAUUUAUAAGUAUGACUAAUCUGACGAAGAAUCGUAGUUCCUGCACCUUGCGUGGCGUCUCCCAGUCCAAUAAUAGCCCAGAUGGCCAAUCACUCACGCGAUUCAAGCAAAUUAGGAUCCUUGGAAGACCAUUGCGAAUACACUAAUCUUUCUAGGCACCACUUAAACAGGAUCCUGUGGCAACAGACCAGAUAGUUUACCAUUACCUCCAGUCUUAAGUAGCAUGUAAGACAGAGGGAAAGAACAGCACCUGACAGCCCUUCCGAAAUUAGAACUAGCAUGAGAAUACAUGUGACCUAUACUCUCUAUAUGCUAACAGUAGCCGUGCGAAGCCCUUCUCAGUGUAUUGGUUUCUUUAUUACCAUAUUCGAACUUUCUCCUUCAAAGAAGGCUAAAAUUCAAUAAAUCAGUAAGUGGCCCAAACACGUAGGUAGCUCACUCAACUUAUUGCCACAAGCUUGAGGACCUUCAGGGAGGCCCAUAUCUGCUCUUAUUCUCUUCUCUUUUAUUGAUUGACCGGAUGCGACCGAUGGAAGGUAUCUAAUUCAAAUAAAAGAAGGGAGUCAAAUGACUUUCGUGGACUGCUGCCCCGCUCCUUAAGGUGCCCAUCUCUGAGUUGGAUUGAUAUCUCAUUUUUUAAGCAAAGUCAAAGGAGCCAUUCUCAAGUAGGCCGCUUUCAGUCGUUCCACUUCGGUCCUCCACUCGCUACACAUAGUUGUCCAAAGCAUUAGGCACGGUUUGUGACCGACCCCGCGAUGAGUCUUUACUUAUCCGUCCGAAAAUGCGCUAUAUCAAAUUCGUUUAUAUACCCACAUGGGAUCCUCCCUGAAACAUUGCCUUUUCCUCUCCUUAUGGUUGAGAGAUCCAGUCGGUCAAGCCAGUUUGGUUAGUUCUUUCUUAGAUCCGGUCCGAGUGGUAGCCUGGCGAAGAUGGCGGCUCCAUACGGGGAACCGGGUUAUUAGGCAAUAAUGGUCAAUAUAAGAGUUCCGAUGAUGAGCUGCCUAUCUCGCUGUGAAGCUUGCGCCUCUUUUCAUUCUACUUCUAUUUUAUGGACAUGUUCUUCACAUCCUCGAUUCUAACCAUAGGAUAGAGUUGAAGUGAACCUAGAGAAAACCCAGAGGAGUUUUCUAAUGAAGAACGUUCCCGCUGCCCUAUCUCUAGUGUAGUGGUGGUGUAGCGCGUUAGAGAGAUCAGUCUCAUCCAUAUAAAAAACCAAUAUAUCUGCUAUGAGUGAAUCUACUCCGGCUCUGGGUGAAAGAACCAAAGAACCACUGCGAUUGCCUUUGACCAUACCUUGACCUAUGCCUAUAUUCUCGAGUUUCGGAUCGAGAGCGAGUAGUUUCUUCAGUAGAGCCGGUUGAUUCCGGCGAUUCUGUUGAUGAAGCAGUCGACCGAGCGGUAGGGAUACUAAAAGGUUCGAAUUGCUAUCUCUGCUGGUGAUCAUCUUCUUUGUCUUGGUAGAGAACUGAUCAUCGAGUGCUUUCUUUCUCCAUUGAGGUUCACCCUCAUCUUCCUUCCCCACCCAUCGCUCCGGGUUCGAGUACCGGUCCGACAACUAAAAUAGGUUAAACUUCAUUCAGUGAGAUUGGGUUAGUGCUUGUAGAAAUGGAAAGCAAGAUGGGCUUUGUGCCCUAGGAGAUUUAUAUAUGGUAUAUAAUAAUACAGGAAUAUACUGUAUUUACACCGUAUGUACAGAAUAAUAUACAGCUAAUAGUGCUCAGUCUACGAGAAGAUUUCCCAUCUUCUUGGUUUGGGGUCUCUUGUUUGAACCGAGCGUAGAAAGAAUUGUGCAUGAAUUGCUUAUCAUCAAAUCAUUGAAAAGAAAUGGAUCGAGGAAUAGCGUAUAAAGACAUAAUAAUAAAUCGGAAAGGCUGCAUCUGCAUCGCACGCAUAGCGAUGAAAUAGCUGAUGAACUGAAAUAGCUAGGGGCAAAGAGCGAUAGGAGAGGCUUGCAGUGCAGCAAGAAGAAAAGAAUGCAUUUCUUUCUUUCCAAGUGAGAUGUUCAAGAAAGAAGGAAGGAGGGGAAGAAUCGACGAGGAAUCUAGAAGAGAAAAUCGUGAAUGAAAAAGCGUGACGAGAAUUCCUCAUCCAUCCAUGCUUCAACUGGAUCCAUUCACCUAUUUCACACAAUUCUUCUGGUCAUGCCUUUUCCUCUUGACUUUCUAUAUUGCCAUAUGCAAUGAUAGAGACGGAGUACUUGGGAUCAGCAGAAUUCUAAAACUACGAAACCAACUGCUUUCACAUCGGGAGAACAAGAUCCGGAGCAAGGACCCCAAGAGUUUAGAAGAAAUAUUAAGAAAAGGUUUUAGCACUGGUGUAUCCUAUAUGUACUCCAGUUUAUUCGAAGUAUCCCAAUGGUGUAAGGCCGUCGACUUAUUGGGAAAAAGGAGGAAGAUGACUUUGAUCUCUUCUUUCGGAGAAAUAAGUGCCUCACGAGGAAUAGAAAGAAACAUAUUCUAUUUGAUCUCGAAGUCCUCAUAUAGCACUUC
rnacentral:lncRNA from 1 species